ACUCAAAUGAAUAGACGGGGGCCCGCACAAGCAGUGGAUUAUGUUGUUUAAUUCGACGCUACGCGAAGAACCUUACCAGGGCUUGACAUGGAGAAGACCGCUGUAGAGAUACAGUUUCCCCUUCGGGGGUUUCUCACACAGGUGGUGCAUGGUUGUCGUCAGCUCGUGUCGUGAGAUGUUGGGUUAAGUCCCGCAACGAGCGCAACCCCUAUUGUUAGUUGCUACGUGAGAGCACUCUAGCGAGACUGCCGUUGACAAAAGCGGAGGAAGGUGGGGACGACGUCAAAUCAUCAUGCCCCUUAUGUCCUGGGCUACAAACGUAAUACAAUGGCGUUUAACAGAGGGAGGCAAAGCCGCGAGGUGGAGCAAACCCCCAAAAGACGUCUCAGUUCGGAUCGUAGGCUGCAACUCGCCUGCGUGAAGUCGGAAUUGCUAGUAAUCGCGGAUCAGCAUGCCGCGGUGAAUACCGUUCCCGGGCCUUGUACACACCGCCCGU
rnacentral:rRNA from 1 species